CCCUUAGAUGUUCUGGGCCGCACGCGCGCUACAAUGAUGAAUUCAACGAGUUUAUAACCUUGGUUGAAAAGCCUGGGUAAUCUUUUGAACUUUCGUCGUGAUGGGGCUAGACCCUUGCAAUUAUUGGUCUCCAACGAGGAAUUCCUAGUAAACGCAAGUCAUCAGCUUGCAUUGAUUACGUCCCUGCCCUUUGUACACACCGCCCGUCGCACCUACCGAUUGAAUGGUCCGGUGAAAUCUUCGGAUUGAGACUUUGAUUUCUUCACGGAAAACGCUGUUUUAAAAAGUUGAUUAAACCUUACCAUUUAGAGGAAGGUAAAGUCGUAACA
rnacentral:rRNA from 1 species